rnacentral:rRNA from 1 species
GACGAACGCUGGCGGCGUGCCUAAUACAUGCAAGUCGAACGAGAGCGACCGGUGCUUGCACUGGUCAAUCUAGUGGCGAACGGGUGAGUAACACGUGGGUAACCUGCCCAUCAGAGGGGGAUAACAUUCGGAAACGGAUGCUAAAACCGCAUAGGUCUUCGAACCGCAUGGUUUGAAGAGGAGAAGAGGCGCAAGCUUCUGCUGAUGGAUGGACCCGCGGUGCAUUAGCUAGUUGGUGAGGUAACGGCUCACCAAGGCCGUGAUGCAUAGCCGACCUGAGAGGGUGAUCGGCCACAUUGGGACUGAGACACGGCCCAAACUCCUACGGGAGGCAGCAGUAGGGAAUCUUCCGCAAUGGACGCAAGUCUGACGGAGCAACGCCGCGUGAGUGAAGAAGGUUUUCGGAUCGUAAAACUCUGUUGUUAGAGAAGAAUAAGUGCUAGAGUAACUGUUAGCGCCUUGACGGUAGCUAACCAGAAAGCCACGGCUAACUACGUG